rnacentral:rRNA from 1 species
UGGUGGCGACCGGCGCACGGGUGAGUAACGCGUAUGCAACCCAUCUAUCAGAGGGGAAUAACCCGGCGAAAGUCGGACUAAUACCGCAUAAAACAGGGACACCGCAUGGUGAUAUUUGUUAAAGAAAUUCGCUGAUAGAUGGGCAUGCGUUCCAUUAGGUAGUUGGUGAGGUAACGGCUCACCAAGCCGACGAUGGAUAGGGGAACUGAGAGGUUGGUCCCCCACACUGGUACUGAGACACGGACCAGACUCCUACGGGAGGCAGCAGUGAGGAAUAUUGGUCAAUGGGCGAGAGCCUGAACCAGCCAAGUCGCGUGAAGGAAGAAGGAUCUAUGGUUCGUAAACUUCUUUUGCAGGGGAAUAAAGUGCAGGACGUGUCCUGUUUUGUAUGUACCCUGAGAAUAAGGAUCGGCUAACUCCGUGCCAGCAGCCGCGGUAAUACGGGGGAUCCGAGCGUUAUCCGGAUUUAUUGGGUUUAAAGGGUGCGUAGGUGGUUUGAUAAGUCAGCGGUGAAAGUUUGCAGCUUAACUGUAAAAAUGCCGUUGAAACUGUCGGACUUGAGUGUAAAUGAGGUAGGCGGAAUGCGUGGUGUAGCGGUGAAAUGCUUAGAUAUCACGAAGAACUCCGAUUG